UACGGGGGAUGCAAGCGUUAUCCGAAAUUAUUGGGCGUAAAGCGCCUGUAGGUUGUUUAUUAAGUCUGUUGUUAAAGCCUAGGGCUUAACCCUAGAAAAGCAAUGGAAACUAAUAGACUAGAGUAUGGUAGGGGUAGAGGGAAUUUCUAGUGUAGCGGUGAAAUGCGUAGAUAUUAGAAAGAACACCAGUGGCGAAAGCGCUCUACUGGACCAUUACUGACACUCAGAGGCGAAAGCUAGGGUAGCAAAAGGGAUUAGAUACCCCUGUAGUCCUAGCCGUAAACGAUGGAUACUAGAUGUUGUGUUUAUAAUACAGUAUCGUAGCUAACGCGUUAAGUAUCCCGCCUGGGGAGUACGCUCGCAAGGGUG
rnacentral:rRNA from 1 species